GCCAAGGUAGCUUAGCUGGUUAAAGCCCGCCAAUGGUAAUGGCGAGACCGUGGGUUCGACUCCCACCCUUGGCU
rnacentral:tRNA from 1 species